rnacentral:rRNA from 1 species
UACGAAGGGGGCUAGCGUUGUUCGGAAUUACUGGGCGUAAAGGGCGCGUAGGCGGCGUGUCAAGUCAGGCGUGAAAGCCCCGGGCUCAACCUGGGAAUUGCGCUUAAGACUGGAUUGCUUGAGUGCGGGAGAGGUGAGUGGAAUUCCCAGUGUAGAGGUGAAAUUCGUAGAUAUUGGGAAGAACACCAGUGGCGAAGGCGGCUCACUGGCCCGCAACUGACGCUGAGGCGCGAAAGCGUGGGGAGCAAACAGG